ensembl:snRNA U1 U1 spliceosomal RNA
GUGCUUACCUGGCAGGGCAGAGUCCAUGAUCACAAAGGUGGUUUUCCCAGGACGAGACUUAUCCAUUGCACUCUGGAUAUGCUGACCCCGGCGAUUUCCCCAAAUGUAGGAAACUCGAUUGCAUAAUUUGUGGUAGAGUAGGUUCACCUUUUU